rnacentral:lncRNA from 1 species
UCGGUAUUUUGGGAGAAUGUCGGGUUCAUGUGUAGGAACGCUUCGAAUUAUUUUUGUUUAUGCUUGUAUAUUUAUUUUGAUGAUAAGUUAUAUUUGUGAAUAGGUGGUGCACCUUCAGGUUGUGCUUAGCUUACAUUCUUGGUCUUCAAUGAAGGCAAGUAAAUAUAGCGACGUGGUCUACAUGCUUUAAGUUUGUUGCUUGAAUUGCCUCCAUUUAAUUUAGUACCUUACACUAGCAAGAUAAAUCUAAAUUUGUCUUUAUAUUGAAGUAUCUUGUUCCACUUGAGGCUUUACUUUUGAAGUUAUGAAUUUUGAAGUAUAUGAAGUUCA